rnacentral:rRNA from 1 species
UAGGGAAUCUUCCGCAAUGGACGCAAGUCUGACGGAGCAACGCCGCGUGAGUGAUGAAGGUCUUCGGAUCGUAAAACUCUGUUAUUAGGGAAGAACAAAUGUGUAAGUAACUAUGCACGUCUUGACGGUACCUAAUCAGAAAGCCACGGCUAACUACGUGCCAGCAGCCGCGGUAAUACGUAGGUGGCAAGCGUUAUCCGGAAUUAUUGGGCGUAAAGCGAGCGCAGGCGGUUAGAAAAGUCUGAAGUGAAAGGCAGUGGCUCAACCAUUGUAGGCUUUGGAAACUGUUUAACUUGAGUGCAGAAGGGGAGAGUGGAAUUCCAUGUGUAGCGGUGAAAUGCGUAGAUAUAUGGAGGAACACCGGUGGCGAAAGCGGCUCUCUGGUCUGUAACUGACGCUGAGGCUCGAAAGCGUGGGGAGCGAACAGG